UACGUAGGGUGCAAGCGUUAUCCGGAUUUACUGGGUUUAAAGGGUGUGUAGGCGGGCUUUUAAGUCAGUGGUGAAAUCUCCGGGCUCAACCCGGAAACUGCCAUUGAUACUAUUAGUCUUGAAUUUUGUUGAGGUAGGCGGAAUAAGUCAUGUAGCGGUGAAAUGCAUAGAUAUGACUUAGAACACCAAUUGCGAAGGCAGCUUGCUAAACAAAUAUUGACGCUGAGGCACGAAAGCGUGGGGAGCAAACAGG
rnacentral:rRNA from 1 species